rnacentral:lncRNA from 1 species
CUCAAUUAAAAAUUCCCUUCAAUUAAAAGUCCUGGAGGGUUCCUCGCCCUAGAGCUCAGGAGAGAGAAGAUACCCCGGGGGUCACAGGGGGACGCAUCUACCAGCCCACCCAAGGGGCUGGCCCGGAGCCCUCACUCCCCGGGAGGCGGAGGAAACCCACUGGCCAAUCGCCACCACCGAGGCCCAGAUCUGCUCUCUGAUUGGCUCCAGUGGUGACGCCCCCUCCGAAUUCCUGGCUCUGAUUGGUCUAUUUCCUGACUCCGACCGGGACGGUGCCCAGAGGACGAGAGGCUUCCAGACCGAACCGAGGGAUGCUGUGGGGGACGUCGGAGACGCCGUCGCACGGCGACAAACAGCCGGACUCCGAGGACACGGCGGCGGGCUCUGUGGUCUCGGGGCUGCUGCUGGCGACGGAGAGGAGCCGGCGGGGGCGCCCCCCGAGCCCGCUGCUGCCGCCGCCGAGUAA